rnacentral:misc_RNA from 1 species
CUGAAAGGUAAAAUCAGCAUCAGAUUG